AACACUCUGCAAAAAUGGAAUCCGUCAUUCCCAUGGUCGACUCCCAAAAAUUCGUCAGCUAAAUUGCCAAGAAAAGACCAAAAAGCUGACUUAGGGAUAAAAGAGGCACCUCCUUCUUCAAAUAUCACGGCAGCCAUACAUUUGAAAUUUUCUUCUCAAACAAAAAACACUUUAUUCAAUUGGGGAUUCUUCAUAUAAACACAUAGUGACAUAGCAAAAUAAACUUGGGGAUUUUGUGGUGAAGGGACGAACGGCAAAAAUGGAGGACGGACUUCGGAUUCAAGUCCUUUGAUUGUUGUUUCAAAUGUUAGUUUCUUCUUCUGAUUGUCGAUUUAAAACCCUGGAAUCUGGCGAGUUCGGAGUUUGAGUCGGGUUGAGUUCACGACGAGGUUCUGUCCGUGGUUCCGACGAGGGCCGUUGUGGAUUUUUGUCACGGUUCCGGCAGGUUUUCUGGUCUGGUUCGAGGUUUCCAUUUUUGGUGGUAAGAUUACUUCUUUCAUUUUAUUAUGGUUCUAUUACAAUGUUAUUAUAAUGUUAUGAAUGUGAGGUUCUGUUCGAAGUUCCGUUUGUGAUCGGCGGCGUUGUCAUAUUAUCGUUUUGUUCUGCUGAUUAAGUCUCUGUCUCUGAUUGAAGGCUUUUAUUUGGUCGAGUUAAACAUUAAAGGUCCACUCACGCCUCUCUAAUUUGAGAUCUAUUAAUUGCUUUAUUUGGUAUUUAAUCUGAUUUAUGGAGACCUUGGGUUGAAAUUGUGUUUAAUUUGCAAUACCGAUGUGAAAUUUAUAAUAGAACGUAUCAGAUGUACUUCACACUGAUUUCCAUGACUCAUAAAAAAAAUUGUUUUUCCUUUCCUAUAAGGCAGUAGAGGUAUUUGGAGUGCCAUCAAAAGAAACUGAUUGAAUUGGCAAAAAAAAAAUUGAUGUGGCUGAACUGGAAAAGAUAGUGCUUUAAUUAGUGUAUUUUUAUAGUAAAGAAAAGUGAGCCGAAUAAGCAUAUGAUAUACAACUCAAAAAUAUGGUUGGCAGCAUCACAUAUCGUUUUAGUCUAUGCUAUUGGGUUUAAGUUUUAUGUUCUCAAAUUGACAAAAAAAAGUUAAUCCAUGUGAUGUUAAUUUUGCGUUUUGAGUGAACCGUGAUUAAACUUGGAGUAUUCUGAUUAUUUGAUGUUACAACCCAUAUCCACAUGUGUUAGUUCAUGCCAUAUAUUAGUUAACAUAAAUCCAAGAAAGAAUUAUCUUUGAGAUGAUAAGAAGUCAAUCCUAUUGGUCUUAAGUGAUACAAGAGUGUAUAAGGGUGAUUAACAAGUAUUAGAAGUUAAAUGAAUCAAGGAUGUUGUAACUCGUAUUUUCAGGUAAAUCUAGCAGUGCUUAAUACACUCAAGAGGUCAUUUAUUAAGGUAUUUUAAUCAUAUAAUAUCCGUAUCAUAAGUAUUGAAGUCAAACGAGUUAUGAAACAAAAGUCGACAAAGGUUGUCUCAACUUAGGUUCAUAAUUUUACUUAAACAUUAGGUAAAAUGUUUCUAAUCUUUUAUCCUAAUUUACAAGUAAUUACGGGGUGAUCUACCAACCAAAUUAAAGAUAUAUGAGUCUAGUUUCCAAAUCAUUAAACCGUUCAUCGAUACGAUCUCGGAGUAGAGAGAUAUUUGUAUUUUCGCGAGACCGCGCCAAACACCUCUCUAUUGGGCCCACUAAGGCGGUUUAAGAUAUUUGGACUUAUAUAGGAUGCCUCCAACCCAUUUUAAGUCAUUUAUUCUCACUAUUUUCAGACCUUAGAACCCUAGUAACAUCUUCUCAAGGUUAUCUCAAGAUUCAAGACCCAAAAAAAGGGCAAACAACACAAAUCAAGUGUCGGGAAUUCCGUGGCACUAGUAAGUCUCUUGUUCUUCUUGUUGUUGCUCAUUUUUGUGUCGUUCCAGCUCGUGUGGGAGGUUGUUUUAAAGGGUUUAUGUUCUGUAAAUACUCCCUCAUGUUCUUUACAUCAAUCCUAAGUGAUUUCAAGCCUUCUAAAGUGAUUCUAGUGCCGAAAAACACUAAUUGAUCGCUAGUUUCGUUUUUUGUUGUUGUGGCAGCAUUGGAGGGAUAUUUCAUGGAAAUUUAAGGUAAAAUUGGAGUUGUUCUUUCUGUAUAAAGGUAAGGAACCUCUUACUCUAUAUGUAUUUAAGAUUAUCCAAGUUGCGGCUAAGCCAUUGAAGCUAGAACUUGUGAAAUAUAUAUCGAAAGGCUUGGUAGUAAUGUUGUUGUUUUGUGAACUGUUUUGCAUUACUGUUGGGAUGCGUAUUUUACUACUGUUUUGUGGAGUUUUGGAGGAUUAAGGGUGUUGAGAAACACCAUAUAUAUGUAGGUUUGUGGGAUAAUAGUUAUUCAUAACAUUUCCGGGUCGUUUGACACGACUACGGUGGUCGUCGUAUGUAUGGAGUGAUUAGGCUGUGCAUGGACUAUUUUGGGAGGCUCAAUAUGUUUAUUAUUGAUGUUGUUUAGGUUGUUUGGUGACUGUUUUGAAUGGUGUGAAGUCAUAUAUAUAGGGGAGGUGCUGUCCGUUUCAUCGUAAAAUAGGUUGUGGUCGAUACAUAAUAGUUAUGAUGCUUAAAUGAUAACGAUAGUAUCGUUUCUCUUAUUGUAGACUAAGGAGUUUUGAAAAUUGCAUAGCUUGAUAUUGGGGCAGUAUAUACAAGGUAUGUGAGGCUAUACCUUUCCUUCUUUUGCACGACUCUGAUUGUACAUAAUGUAAUGAACGAGCUUCCAAGAUACUCUACUCUUAGAAGCUAGCAGUACUUACAUUGUUUUCCCUCUUAUGGAACGAUUGAUGUUAAUGUUGCUUCUCUUAUUCUUAUGUUAUCAAUGUUGUUGGUACUUCCUGAUUCUUAUAAGGUUCAUAAUGAAGAGUUAGUCCUAAUAACGUGUACAGAGGAUACCGACCUUACGUCACUCCGAAAGGUUUAGAAUGUGAUUCCAUGAGUCGAGCAGGCAUUAUAUAUAUGUAUCUAUUUUACUCUACCGAGCCACACUAUAGUUGGCCGGGUACGGCACCUAUUGUGCAACCAUUGAUCAGUUGGGUUUUACCGAGCUCCACAUUGCCGGGUACGAUUCUACCGAGCCUUAUGAUGGCUGGGUACGUUUUUUUACUGAGCCUAUUAUGGCCAGGUACGAUAUGAUGAUGAUGAUGCCCACAGAGGCGAAUGUUUUAAAGGUUUAUGUAUUUAUACAUAUGUAUCAUGCAUUUCAUGUCAGUAGCCCUCAGAGGUACUAAGAUGUUACAGGUUGUAUAUUCUCUAUCCUUGCUUACAUUACUGAUCGUAUUCAUGGUUCCCUGCCUUACAUACUCAGUACUUUAUUCGUACUGACGUCCUUUUAUUUGUGGACGCUGCAUGUCGUGCUGCAGGUCCUGAUAGACAGGCAGGUGCAGCUCCCCCACCAUAGUAGGCUAUCCAGUUUAGCGGUGAUUGGCGAGAUCCCUUCUCCGAAUUUGCCUUGGUCUUGGUAUGCAUUGUUGUUAUAGACAUUAUGGGUAUGUCGGGGCCCUGUUCUGGCUAUGUUGCAACACUUAUGUUCAUUUAGAGGCUCAUAGACAAGUGUCGACUCAUGUAUAGUUUGGUAUGCCUUGUCGGCUGGUUUUUGUUAUAUAGUCU
rnacentral:lncRNA from 1 species